GAUCAGCCAUGCCGCGUGUGUGAAGAAGGUCUUCGGAUUGUAAAGCACUUUAAGUUGGGAGGAAGGGUUGUAGAUUAAUACUCUGCAAUUUUGACGUUACCGACAGAAUAAGCACCGGCUAACUCUGUGCCUGCAGCCGCGGUAAUACAGAGGGUGCAAGCGUUAAUCGGAAUUACUGGGCGUAAAGC
rnacentral:rRNA from 1 species